rnacentral:rRNA from 1 species
CCUGGCUCAGGAUGAACGCUGGCGGCGUGCCUAACACAUGCAAGUCGAACGAGCGAGAGAUGAAACCUAGUGAUUCUCAAGCGAGUGGCGGACGGGUGAGUAACGCGCGGGUAACCUGCCUUACAGAGGGGGAUAACAGUCUGAAAAGACUGCUAAUACCGCAUAAGCACACAGUACCGCAUGGUACAGGGUGAAAAGAUUUAUCACUGUAAGAUGGACCCGCGUCUGAUUAGCCAGUUGGCAGGGUAACGGCCUACCAAAGCGACGAUCAGUAGCCGACCUGAGAGGGUGAUCGGCCACAUUGGGACUGAGACACGGCCCAAACUCCUACGGGAGGCAGCAGUGGGGGGUAUUGCACAAUGGAGGAAACUCUGAUGCAAGCGACGCCGCGUGAGUGAAGAAGUAUUUCGGUAUGUAAAGCUCUAUCAGCAGGGAAGAUAAUGACAGUACCUGACCAAGAAGCCCCGGCUAACUACGUGCCAGCCGCGGC